rnacentral:rRNA from 1 species
UACAGGGGGGGCAAGCGUUGUCCGGAAUUAUUGGGCGUAAAGAGCUCGUAGGCGGUUUGUUGCGUCGGCUGUGAAAUCCCGAGGCUCAACCUCGGGUCUGCAGUCGAUACGAGCAAACUAGAGUGUUGCAGGGGAGACUGGAAUUCCUGGUGUAGCGGUGAAAUGCGCAGAUAUCAGGAGGAACACCGGUGGCGAAGGCGGGUCUCUGGGCAACAACUGACGCUGAGGAGCGAAAGCGUGGGGAGCGAACAGG